AUUGAACGCUGGCGGCAGGCCUAACACAUGCAAGUCGAACGAGUGGCGGACGGGUGAGUAAUGUCUGGGAAACUGCCCGAUGGAGGGGGAUAACUACUGGAAACGGUAGCUAAUACCGCAUACUAUCAGAUGAGCCUAGGUGGGAUUAGCUAGUUGGUGGGGUAAAGGCCUACCAAGGCGACGAUCCGUAACUGGUCUGAGAGGAUGAUCAGUCACACUGGAACUAGGACACAGUCCAGACUCCUACGGGAGGCAGCAGUGAGGAAUAUUGGACAAUGGGCGGAAACCUGAACCAGCCAUGCCGCGUGAGUGAAGGAGGUCUUCGGAUUGUAAAGCACAUUAAGUUGGGAGGCGUUACCAACAGAAGAAGCACCGGCUAACUUCGUGCCAGCAGCCGCAGAAAUAC
rnacentral:rRNA from 1 species